rnacentral:rRNA from 1 species
GUAUAGCAAUAGCUACUUGCAUCAUAGUAGAUAUGAUGCAAGAUCGACUAUGUUGAAUAAAAUUCUAGGUAGAAUUAUGAUAAUGACAUUGUCUGCCUAUGUGUCUUGACCAAAUUACGUGCCAGCAGUCGCGGUAAUACGUAGAAGACUAGUGUUAUUCAUGUUUAAUCGGUUUAAAGGGUACCUAGACGGUAGAUCAAGCUUUCUAAUAAAGGAAAAGGACUAAUUUACUAGAGUUACUUAUGAGGGGGUAUUAAAGUACUGCUGGUGUAGAGAUGAAAUUCUGUCAUACCUCUUUUCAAAAGAAAAACCAUGGCACAGGUAUAGGCGAAGGCAUCCCCUUAUGUGAUAACUGACGUUGAGGGACGAAGGCUUUGUGUAGCGAACAGGAUUAGAUACCCCAGUAGUCGAAGCAGAAAAUGAUGAAUGUCAUAGAUUAGAUAUAUAAGUUUAUUCUAUAAAUGAAAGUGUAAGCAUUCCACCUCAUGAGUAAUUUGGCAACAUUGGAACUGAAAUCAUUAGACCGUUUCUGAAACCAGUAGUGAAGUAUGUUGUUUAAUUUGAUGACCCGCAAAAAACCUUACCACAAUUUGAAUAUUUAUAUUAUUUAUUGUWUUAUUAUUARUWUWYUUAUAKUAWAUUAUUGUUUUAUUAUUAAUUUUCUUAUAGUAAGAAUAUUAAUAAAGAGGCAAUAAGAUAUAUUUACAAGCGUUGCACGGCUGUCUUCAGUUAAUGUCGCGAGACUUUGGUUAGUUCCAUUAAAUUAACGUAAACCCUUACUUUAUUUUUAUAUAGAGUAGUUCCCCGCUAUAUUGGAUAUGAUAACAGG